rnacentral:rRNA from 1 species
UAGGGAAUCUUCGGCAAUGGACGAAAGUCUGACCGAGCAACGCCGCGUGAGUGAAGAAGGUUUUCGGAUCGUAAAACUCUGUUGUUAGAGAAGAACAAGGACGUUAGUAACUGAACGUCCCCUGACGGUAUCUAACCAGAAAGCCACGGCUAACUACGUGCCAGCAGCCGCGGUAAUACGUAGGUGCCAAGCGUUGUCCGGAUUUAUUGGGCGUAAAGCGAGCGCAGGCGGUUUCUUAAGUCUGAUGUGAAAGCCCCCGGCUCAACCGGGGAGGGUCAUUGGAAACUGGGAGACUUGAGUGCAGAAGAGGAGAGUGGAAUUCCAUGUGUAGCGGUGAAAUGCGUAGAUAUAUGGAGGAACACCAGUGGCGAAGGCGGCUCUCUGGUCUGUAACUGACGCUGAGGCUCGAAAGCGUGGGGAGCAAACAGG